GAUGAACGCUGGCGGCGUGCUUAACACAUGCAAGUCGAACGAAGCACUUUAUUGUGAUUUCUUCGGAAUGACGAUUUAGUGACUGAGUGGCGGACGGGUGAGUAACGCGUGGGUAACCUGCCUUAUACAGGGGGAUAACAGUUAGAAAUGACUGCUAAUACCGCAUAAGCGCACAGGAUUGCAUGAUCUAGUGUGAAAAACUCCGGUGGUAUAAGAUGGACCCGCGUCUGAUUAGCUGGUUGGUGAGGUAACGGCCCACCAAGGCGACGAUCAGUAGCCGACCUGAGAGGGUGACCGGCCACAUUGGGACUGAGACACGGCCCAAAACUCCUACGGGAGGCAGCAGUGGGGAAUAUUGGCACAAUGGGGGAAACCCUGACUGCAGCGACGCCGCGUGAGCGAAGAAGUAUUCGGUAUGUAAAGCUCUAUCAGCAGGGAGAAAAAUGACGGUACCUGACUAAGAAAGCCCCGGCUAACUACGUGCCAGCAGCCGACGG
rnacentral:rRNA from 1 species